rnacentral:lncRNA from 1 species
CAGAGGGCAGUGGGGCAUCUUUCACGGUUCCUCGGAACAAUGUGCUUCUGAUGCUUGUUGCUCUCACCUAGAGGCUCGUUUUACCGCUGCACGCACUCGGAACGCCUGUUCAAACCACAGCGGCGCCCAAAGAGCUGCUGCCGUCCUCCAGCGUCGGGUUCAUUUACUGCUGUACGGAAACACAUCUCUGGCAGCACCUUUCGUUUUCCGCCUGCUCUCCUCCUCUUGCCACAACCUAACCCUAACUUGCACUUUUCUAGCUGCCUUCUGCUUACUGACUGUCGCCUCUUCUCCGUUUUCUCUCAGCCUUUUGUUCAGAACUACGUUGCUCUUGCGUUUCUCCGUUUCCCUUUGCCACACAGCUGCUUACUUUCACAGGCUCAUGAAGUUUUAUGUUUCAUCGCUUCUUCUAGCAGGUACUCAGGUGAUCCUGUUGCCAUGGCAACUCUGAGAGGAAAAGCUAUACUCCUACGUUGCCUGCUGCUCUGGGCUCUCAGCAUCAGUGCGUUUGCCACAGGCCUGUCCCAGUCCCUGUGCAAGAUGAAGCUGGACUUCAGGGACUUUGACGUUGUCCUGAAGUGGGAUUGUCCCACUCUGCCCUUCAACACCACCUUUACCAUCCAAACUAAAACACAGGGAGACCGAAACUGGAGAGGCGUCACAGGGUGUGUCCGUGUGACCUCUCGGACCUGCAGCCUAUCGGAAGCAUUUGAGCACUUGGCCCUUUACAAUAUGGUCCGACUCGAGACGGAGGUCACUCCGGGCAGGCUGCACCGGAUGACCCCUGUCAAGGUCGACCUGCUCUCUCACAUGGUCUUCAGCCCCCCAUCCCUCAGUCUCUCUCUGAAGCAGUCUGUGCUGACAGUGAAGGUGCAGUUCCCUACAUCCCUCAACAGGAGGCUCUGCCCUCAUCAAAGCAACUGCUCCAUCCCCGUGGUACUUGAGCGCAUGACCACCAUUGUGGUGUACAAGAGAAAACGGCCCUCGGAGUGCCAGACGCGCACUCUUCGAGCUGUGGGUGACACCCUGAGCUGUGACUUCGAGAACCUGGAAGCAGGACAGGAGUACUGCGCCGUAGCCAACUUCACAUCCAGCAGCUCCUCAUCUCCAUCCUGCAUCUAUACACCUUUCCAGCAUCCAGUGCUGAAGCCCCUGCUGAUAGUGCUGGGAGUGUGUUGUGUCCUCCUGGCCAGUACCACAGUCUUCCUGAAAGCAAAGAGAGUAUCAUCAGAGCGCCGCUGUCUCCCCAAGACUCUGGAAUCACUGCAGGAUGAGCUGUCCAGGGAGCUGUGGGUCUUACAGGAGGACUGCGAGGGAGAUCACCUCUCCAUUUUGUCCCUGUCAUCCAGCUAUGAUUCCAUCCCCCCUCUGGCAUCUGAGGCCCUGACUGACCACCAGAUCCUGGACAAUGGCUACCACAACAACCCUUUCCUUGUGGACUCAGACUCUGGUGAAUCAGACUGGGGUAGCAGAGGUAUGACAGACCUUGCUGGGCCAGGACACGGUGCAAAUGCUGUGAGCUGGCUUUGUGACCGCAUUGCUGCCCAGUCACAGCAAUCUAAUGGCACAAGUCCACCAUCAGACGGUCACUGGGGGGUCUCUGUGAGGGUGAGGUCACCCUUGAUGUCCAGGGAUGUCCCACUGGGCUCGGUGAGGUUGGCCUCCGCAGAAGCCGAGGCACUUGAGGAGUGGAGUCACCUCUCCCAACCUGUAGAAUCCUGGGAUCCUGGAAUCUCAAAUGUGUAG